rnacentral:lncRNA from 1 species
UCUGAGCUUUGAUCAACGCUCUGACUGAUAUUUGGAUAGUGACCCGUAAAUUAUUUUCUUUAUUUUAUAUUUUUCAAAUUAGAAAAAAUACAUAGGUCCGGACCUGUGUCCUCCAUAUGUACACUGAUCAAAAAUGUAAACGCAACAUCCAACAAUUUCAAAGAUUUUACAGAGUUACAGUUAAUAUAACGAAAUCUGUCGAUUGACAUAAAUUCAUUAGGCCCUAAUCUAUGGAUUUCACAUGACUGCGAAGACAGAUGUGGAACUGUUUGUCACAGAUACAUAUAAAACAAAGGUAGGGGUGUGGAUAAGAACCAGUCAGUAUCUGUUGUGAACACCAUUUGCCUCAUGCAGCACGACAUCGCCUUCUUAUAGACUUGAUCAGGCUGUAGAUUGUGAAACAUGCUGUCAUACAUGUCAAUCCAGAGCAUCCUAAACAUGCUCAAUGGGUGACAUGUCUGGUGAGUAUGCAGGCCAUGGAAGAACUGGGACAUUUUCAGCUUCCAGGAACUGUGUAGAGAUCCUUGAGAAACGUGGCUGUGAAAUAUCAUGCUAAAACAUGAGGUAAUGGUGGUGGAUGAAUGGCACGACAAUGGGCCUCAGGAUCUCGUCGCGGUAUCUCUGUGUAUUCAAAUUACCAUCGAUUAAAAUGCAAUUGUGUUUGUUGUCAGUAGCUUAUGCCUGCACGCACAUACCAUAACCCCACUGCCACCGUGGGGCACACUGUUCACAACGUUGACAUCAGAAAACCGCUUGCCCACGUGACGCCAUACGUGCUGUCUGCCAUCUGCCCAGUUCAGUUGAAACCGGGAUAUGUCUGUGAAGUGCACACUUCUCCAGCGUGCCACUGGCCAUUGAAGGUGAGCAUUUGCAGCAGGAAGGUGAGUGCCGUCUGGUAGCCAUGACUGCGGUAGAUGGAACUGCAUUAACCCCCUGAAGUUGGACGCCAAACUGCAGUCAUGGCAAGAAUAUGGUGAUGACGAAGAGCAGUGGAGGUUUUCUUCAGUUGUGCAAACCCACAGUUUCAUCAGCUGUCUGGGUGGCUGGUCUUAGAUGAUCCUGCAGGUGAAGAAGCCGGGUGUGGAGGUCCUGGACUGGCGUGGUUACACGUGGUCUGUGUUUUGUGAAGCCGUUUAGUACACCCAGUAAAAUACUACUUGAAUACAAAUAUUUGUGGGGGGGGAGAGAGCUCCGACUGGGGAAAAAUCGCUUUGAAGCAGCAUACAACUCGGAAUUCCAAGAUGGAAACAAUGGCAUCUUUCUAGUUUUCCGACUUGAAGAUCACUGACGUCAUGUUUUUUUCCCGACGUCCCAGUUGUCUUGAAAGCACCAACUGCCUGAUUGUUGACUGAUGACAUUAGUGGUAACUGAUACACAAAUCAAUGUUGAUAUCUAUUAUAUUGACUGUCAUGUGACAUGUCUAACAAAGAGAUGGUCAGAUGAUGCUGUAUCUGUCCCUCCCUGUGACCAUGUUCUGGAUCUCCAACCAAGCAGAGUACUUUGAAGAAUAUAUUGUGAAGAGGAAGGUUAGUGUUGUCUUAUCUUGAUUUGAUUGGUUGAUUUGAUUCAUUUAUUUUAUUUCAUUUUUAAAAGUACAUAGAACUAAGGUUGCUUCAGCCGGAGACAACAGUUGCUAAAUGCAUAACUAUUGUUGAGGCUAAUACACAAUAAAGCCCAACGGGUUGUUAGGCUCUGAUUCAUUCUUUCAGUGCUUUAAACAUUGUUUAGGCUACACAUUAUUAGAUUGUGUAGACAGUCUGAAAAUGUAGACAGUACUGUCUGACAAACUAAAGCAAAUUCUGACAUUUUGUGUAUGACCAUGUCAUAAGUCGUUUUUAUCUGAUGUUCAUUAAUGUUAAACUUUCCUUUCCUCUUUCAUGGUGAUCUCGUCUACAACCUUCAGAGGGAGAUUUUCCCACCUGAUGAGAAGAUGCAUAGGAAAGAGCUGGAAUACUUCAAAGAGCGGAUGCGAGACCGGAAGGAGCGGCAGCUACUGAAACGGAUGGCCUUGAAUGAGGCUGAGAAGGAGUGAGGAGGACAGUUCAGAGAGGCAAUCAGAGUAGGACGAUGCCCAAUCAGAAGACUUGCUGUUCCACAGGAGCGGGAGCAGUCUCACUGUCAGGCCUGUGGACUGGAACAUGUGCCCUCUCACAAAAGGCACCUUAUUACCUAUUUAGUAUACUACUUUGACCAUGGCCCAUAGGGCUAUGGUAAAACGUAGUGCACUUUAUAGGAAAAAGGGUGCCAUUUGGGGUUGGAGGAUUUUGGAUGUCGUGGAGCAUGUAGGCUAUACUAUACACCCUUUGAGAGGGUGUUCUGGAGGGGGACCUUAAAGUUACCCCUUUGAACUGAAGUCUCACUGAAAAGCUUUUUAUGAAAUGCUUUAUUUCACUGCAGUCAAACCAUGACUUGACUGUUGAUGAUCUGCUCUGUGAUGGUUUUGAUGUAAACCUUGUGUGUGUGUGAAUGAAAUAUGAGGACAGAAUCAUAUGGCUUGGAAUGUUAUUUAUUUUUUAUGAUUUAGAAUACGUCUUUUGUAAAUGGUUGUUUCAACUCUG